GACGAACGCUGGCGGCGUGCUUAACACAUGCAAGUCGAACGGUGAAGGGGUCUGCUUUUGUGGGCCCUGGAUGAGUGGCGAACGGGUGAGUAACACGUGAGUAACCUGCCCCCUUCUUCUGGAUAACCGCAUGAAAGUGUGGCUAAUACGGGAUAUUCUGGGUCUGUCGCAUGAUGGGUCUGGGAAAGAUUGCGCCUUUGGGUGUUUUUGGUGGGGGAUGGGCUCGCGGCCUAUCAGCUUGUUGGUGGGGUGAUGGCCUACCAAGGCGGUGACGGGUAGCCGGCCUGAGAGGGUGGACGGUCACACUGGGACUGAGACACGGCCCAGACUCCUACGGGAGGCAGCAGUGGGGAAUAUUGCACAAUGGGCGCAAGCCUGAUGCAGCGACGCCGCGUGAGGGAUGGAGGCCUUCGGGUUGUAAACCUCUUUCGCCAGUGAAGCAGGCCUGCUCCUUGUGUGUGGGUUGACGGUAGCUGGAUAAGAAGCGCCGGCUAACUACGUG
rnacentral:rRNA from 1 species